GCUGCGGCGGCUGCUCGAGACACCUGCGGCGGCGCCGGCGGCGACCCCGCGGCGGCCGCUGAGAUGUUGCCCCUGGUGGUGCUGCUGCUGGGCUCGGCGAGCUGCGGUUCAGCUCAGCUAAUAUUUAACAUAACCAAAUCUGUAGAAUACACUGCUUGCAACGAAAGUGUUAUCAUCCCAUGCUUUGUUAAUAACGUGGAGGCAACAAACAUUAAUGAGAUGUAUGUAAAGUGGAAAUUAAAAGGAAAAGACAUUUUCACCUUUAAUGGAGCUCUACAGAAGACCACUCAUGGUGAUAAGUUUAAGAGUACAAAAAUCAUACCACAAAAAUUACUAACUGGCAUUGCAUCUUUGGAGAUGGAUAAGGAAGAAGCUGUUGUAGGAAACUAUACUUGUGAAGUAACUGAAUUAAGCAGAGAAGGCGAAACCAUCAUAGAACUAAAAUACCGAAUUGUUUCAUGGUUUUCUCCAAAUGAAAAUAUCCUCAUUGUUAUUUUCCCAAUUUUGGCUGUACUUCUGUCUUGGGGACAGUUUGGUAUUGUGACAAUUAAAUAUAAAUCCAGUCUUGUGAAGGAGAAAACCAUUCUUUUAUUUGUUGGUGGACUAGUGCUCACUAUAGUUGUCAUUGUCGGAGCCAUUCUUUUCGUCCCAGGUGAAUAUUCAACAAAAAAUUCUUGUGGACUUGGUUUAAUUGUAAUUCCUACAGUGAUAUUAAUAUUACUUCAGUACUGUGUGUUUAUAAUAGGUGUUUGGAUCUCUCCCUUCACCAUUGCCAUACUAAUACUCCAGGUACUGGGCUAUGUGCUUUCUGUGGUUGGACUAAGCCUCUGUGUCUCAGAGUGCAACCCAGUGCAUGGCCCUCUUCUGAUUUCAGGUUUGGGUAUUAUAGCUCUAGCAGAAUUACUUGGAUUAGUUUAUAUGAAACUUGUUGAAUUCAGAGGCACACCUUCGGUCAGUUGAAGGGCAAGAAGAGAAAAGCUUCCAAUCAGAAGACUAUACAACCUCCUAGGAAAGCUGUAGAGGAGCCCCUUAAUGAGUAACUGAAAUGAAGUGAUGGACUCUGAUUUGGAAAGUAGUGAGACGUGAAAGGAAUACAAUUGUGUUUGAGCACCAUGGCCUUGAUUCACUGUUCAGGAGAAGAAAACAAGAAAAAUAACUGGUUCUCAUCUGUGGAAAAAAAUUAAUCAUUGACCAUUAAAUGAUUAUUGUUACAGUUAAGUUUUUAUUCAAAGCAUUUGUAAUGUAGUUAAUAAAAGAAUUAUUAUCUGUGUUGUGUGCCCAAUUGAGAUCCAGUUUUUUGUUGUUAUUUUUACUCAUUUAGGGGCAAGAGUAGAGUGGCCAACUUCCAAGAAUGAUCCUUUUCAGAUCCUCGGGCCUCUUGACUUUAGGUCACCAGUUUAAAUUGGUUCAGGGUGAGAAUUACCUGGUGCGACCCUCGUGGUUUCCCAGAGAGGCUUAUGAAGAACAGUGGCUUCCAUAGAACCUUAGCAAUCCCAGAUUCACAGCCAGGUUGGCAGUUAUGGCUGGUGUUAGCCAGAUACCGUUUGUACCACUUCUGGGUCAAGGGAAUAGCGAAUUGAAGUACAGAUAGGAGCACGCUUGGGAACGUCUUGAAUGCCGCCUCCAUGUGCCGCGAUCCGGCAGGAGAUCACGGUCUUCAUUCUUGGGGGUUGCCAUUCACACAUUCUUCUCCGACAUACAGUGUAACGAAUCCUUUCCAGGUUUAGGGUAAUUUUAUUGAUGGAUGUGUUUUUCUUUUAUUCACACAACCCUUUAAAUCCUCUCUUGUCCUCCUGGUAUUUGCUUCUGCUGUGCAAGAUGUAGCACCUUUUCUCCUCUUUGAACAUGGUCCAGUGACACGGUAGCAUCAUUGCAGAAAGGAGCCAGACUUAUUCUCAGAGAACUAUGUUCACACAGCAAAAAUAGCGAUGGUUGUAACAUAUGUAUUUCCUUCCUCGGAUUUGAAGGCACAAUCUACAGUGUUUCUUCACUUCUUUUCUGAUCUGGGGCAUGAAAAACCAAGAUUGAGAUUUGAACUAUGAGUCUCCUGCAUGGCAACAUAAUGUGUGUCCCCGUCAGGCUGACAAGCCCACCCAAUACAGGGUGGUUUUGUUACUGUUGUAUCUGUGUUGCAUGAUAAACACUCAUCAUCUUCCUUGUGUAGUCCUGCCUCCGUAAGCCCCUCACUCUGAGAUCCGAAAGUAAGGCAAACCUUCCACAUUUCCUACCCCCGUUAGAAGAUUAAUGUUCUGACAGUCAUGAUCGCCUGGAGUACUUUUAGCUUCUUAGCACUCGUUUUCUUCCUGUGUGUGUGUGUGUGUGUGUGUGUGCGCGCGCGCGCACGUGUGCACACAUAUGUAUAAGAUAGGCACAUGCAUCUUCUGUACGGACAACAGUGGGGUACCUACAGGAGAGCACAUGUUAAUUUCAUGCUUUUAGUAACAACAUUAAAAAAAAUCUUUAUUGGGCGGGAUUAUAUUGGAUGCAACUCUGUGAUCACUUAAAACUUCAAAAACUUCUAGGUAAUUUGCCAAGCUUUUUGACUGCUCACAAUACCCUCUAAAAAUACUAGUAAUUCUUCCUGUCUGUAUAAUAAUAAGAAAUUCAUAUCUGUAGUUACAUAACUAAUAGUUAUUUCUUAGUCCACUGAAUGUUCCCAUGUGCCUCUUUUAUGCCAAAUUAAUUGUCAUAUUUCAUGUUGGGACCAAGUGGUUUGCCUCUGGCAAACCUUCUGACCUGCUGAUGCUUCUCAGAAAACUGAGCAGACUAUGAAGACAGCUCUUCUUGGAAAAAAAAAAAAAAAGUAUUUUCUUCCCUAAUUGUGUUGCUGUCCAAAAUAUUAUCAUAUGUAGAGGGAGCUGUAUUCCUUUAUAUAAAUCUGAUGGCUCUUGCUGCUCUUUUUUCCUCUGAAAAUAUAUUUUACUAAUAUUGUUUGUUACUUUAGAAAUCAAUUUUGAUGAAGGGAGGAGAAAAGCAGAUGGACUUGAAAAAAAAUCCAGAUACCUAUUCUCUGUUAAGAAAAAGUAGGGCAUGAAAAUCUUUAUAGCAAACUUUUUUAUAAGCUCAAAGUUGUACCUUUUAAUAUGCAGUAAGGUCUCAUUUAUUUGGGGUUCAGCCUUGGGACCCAUCCACCACCCUUUGUGUUCUCUUAAACACUGCCUGUCUUUGGAGGCACUCACUGCCCUAGACAACGCACAGGGGAAGCAGGAGAGAGAUGCCAGGUGACAUCAACUCUUGCUCGUACUAGUUGUCAGCUUCUCUGGAAAAGGGACCACAGCAGCAGGAAGCCUCUUGCUUGGGCAUCAUUGGGCCAGUCCAUUCCCUUUAAAUCAGACCUGCAGUGGCUCCCAAUUUUUUGUCACACCAAAGGAGAAUUGUU